AGGAAAGUUACCGAUUCUCUGAUGGCACAUCAAGCACUGCUGAAAACAUUUCCUCUGGUCUUGAUGACUGGUCUUAUUUUAUCGAUUGUGACUACUCCACUAAUCUGCAAAAGUUUUGAAUUGAGGAAUGAUCAUGAAAAACAGUGCAAUAUCUAUAGUUGGCUACUGAAAUUGAAGGUGAAUCUGCCAGGAGACUGUCCUUACGACAAAGUCAUGGAUUUGUCCCAUAAACUAAUGAUUAAAGGAAUCAUUUUUCUAAGUUUCGUUAUUUUUUUCGUUGGUACCACGUGGUUUCUCAUGAUAUGUUCAUCAAAAAAUCAUCGACUGGAGAUUGGGAUUGUAAGCAGUUUGCUCAUUGGUGCAACAGUAC